CGUGUCCCAUCCACCCACCGGGCCACCCCCGUGUCCCUCCCACCCACCGGGCCACCCCCCCUGUCCCUCCCACCCACCGGGCCACCCCCGUGUCCCUCCCACCCACCGGGCCACCCCCGUGUCCCUCCUCCGGGCCCGCCCCAGCGGCCCCGCCCCGCCGCUCUGCGGGCCCGGCGGUACCGGGGCGGUACCGGGGCGAUACCGGGGCGCUCCCGGUACCUGGCGGAGCCCGCUCCGAACCUCCCCCGUUCAUCCCCCGGUACCCCCGGCCCGGCCCGCAGCCCCGGCGGGGCGCACGGGGGACGCGGGGCGGAGCGCGGAGCCGGCUCGGGGCUGCGGAUGCUCCGGUACCGCCGGUGCGAGCGGGGUGAGCGCCAGCCCGGCUCUGGGCACCCGCAACCGGCAGCGGGACCGCGACGGAGCCGCCGGUACCGACUUUUCACCGCCGGUACCGCCACCGGAACCGGCACCGCUCCGGCCCUGCUAUCCCGGCACCGGCGUCAGCGCUUGGAUCCCGGCACCAGCAGCGAGCGGCCUCGCUGACACCGGCACCGGCACCGGCACAAGGUCCGGUGUCACCGGCACCGGGACUGACCCUCCCGCCCCCGUUAUCCUCCCCCGGCAUCGCUCGUCCUUCUCGACCCCCGGGACCCACCGACCCUUCCCGGCUCCCCGCAGCUUUGGAAACCCACGAGUACGGGAGCGGUGGGAACGGAGAGCUGGGCACGGUGGAGUGGAGCACAAGGAGCACCCAGGCCAGCACUGGGGUGACACUGGGGUGACACUGUCCUCCUGACCUGGCAGGGACACGGAGCAGGGACUGGCUAGGACCCUCCGAGGACCAGCCCAGGGGCGUUCUGGUAGGAGCAGCCAGGGGUGGUGGGCAGUCCUGGGGAUACUGGGGAUACUGGGAGUGGCUGUGAUGGGCCACUGAGAGCCCUGCAUGUGAGGGGCAGUGGGUCCAGACUGCAGUGCUGCCGGGGAGGUGGACAGUGCCCUGCGGUCCCUGGGAACCACAGAACCAUGGAACGCUUUGGGUUGGGAGGGAGCUUAAAGACCAGCCCUGCUAUGGACAGGGGCACCUUCCCCUGGAGCAGGUCCCCUCUCAGGCCCAGCUCCACUGCUCAUUUCCCUUGCCCACUCCUCCUUUGGCUGUUUCGGUGGUGCCAGCAGUGCCACGGGCUGGCCAGCACCCGCCAGGCUCUGUGCCAGGGGCUGGGACCACCGGGACCAUCACCGUGGAUGAUCUGGGGUUAACAAGUGGCUCCUGCAAAGGAGAAGCAAAGCAAGAGCUGAGAUUAUAUAAAGGGGGCUGGAGGCAGCUGCGGCACAGGCUGUGAUUAAUUCCUGGCACUGAGGAGCUUUGAAGAUCCAGCACGGUGCGAGCCUGAGGCAGCCCAGGGUCCCUGGGAUGCAUUCCUGCUGCUGCUGCAGGGCUGCUGUGAAGGGGAAGAGGGCAGGGAGGGGCUGAGCGCUCCAGGAACCCGCUGGGAGCUGCCUCAGCAGCUCUCAGGUCCUGGUGGCCCUGCAGAGCCCGUCCUGCAGAUCCCUUCUCCCUCCCAAAAUCACAGAGGGGACACGGCUCGGAGCGGGUCAGCCCAUGGCUGGGGCAGGAGUGCAGCAGUGAGGGGUGGUGGCGGCUGGUGGGGACAGGACAGCGCUUCCUUGAGGCCACAGAACCCCUC
ensembl:lncRNA